rnacentral:lncRNA from 1 species
UUGUAUAUCAUGGAAAAUCUAAACUUUUUUUUUACAGUUUUUUUCUUCCGAAGCUCAUGUAUAUGUUAGGGGGAAAAAUACCUAUUAACCGUAAAUUUUAACAAAUAUAUUAUGAUUAGUAUACUUUUUAUUUAAGAAAUAUUUAAAAAUAAAAUAAAUUUCAAUGGUUAGUGAUAAACAAUUAUUUUACAUAUAAUCUUAUUUUUCAAUUGUACUCUUUAAUGACUCAUUUGCACAAAAUAAUAUGAACACAAUAAAGUGGCAUAUUAAAAACACUCCAAAAUAAUAAGAUGUAUAAUUUUUUUUAACUCAAUAAAUAAAAAUUACUAAAUAUAAAAAAAAAACAUGUAUCGGUAUAUUUGCAAAAGAUCCACAAGAAGCAAGGUAGGAUUCACCAAGAUAACAUCUCUUUGGUAGAGAUUUCUUUGACUUUAGUCUCCGCGAUGGCUAGCUGGUUCGUCCAGGACUCAUUUUAUAUUUUCCAUAUCUCUAGCAACUUUUGGAUUUUGGAGUAAACCUCCUCAUACUUCUUGAACUUUUUCCUCAACUAUCUUUUGAUCUGGUCUCGUCUCUCUCAGUCGAUAUGUUCUAGCAUUAACACCCUUAGCAAGUGAUCCUUCUUCAUGUCAGUAAGCUCGGAGGACAGUUUAGUACCGGGGUCUUAUAAUCGGAAAAGGGAGAUAAGAACCAAUAAAUUGGACGACGUCAAAACUGAAGUCAACCCAUAGAAAAGGCAGGCGGGAUGAGAGCCUCACCAUCAAGAGACUUCUAAGCUAACCUGCAAAUUUGAUUUAUAUUAAAUUUGAUCUUUGUAAUAUGUAGAAUAUUUAAUUUUAGUCCUUACAAAAUUAUUUAUAUUGUAUUUGGUCUAUAUAAUAUAUGGAAUAUUUGAUUUUAAUCUUUUCAA